CCUACGGGUGGCAGCAGUGAGGAAUAUUGGUCAAUGGGCGCGAGCCUGAACCAGCCAAGUCGCGUGAGGGAGGACGGCCCUACGGGUUGUAAACAUCUUUUGCCGGGGAGCAACGGGCGUCACGUGUGGCGCCACUGAGAGUACCCGGAGGAAAAGCAUCGGCUAACUCCGUCCCAGCAGCCGCGGUAAUACGGGGGAUGCGAGCGUUCUCGGGUUUUAUGGGGUUUAAGGGGUGCGUAGGCGGAUCGUUAAGUCAGUGGGCAAUUUGAGGGGCUCACCCCCUUCCCGCCAUUGAAACUGGCGCUCUUGAGUGGAAGAGAGGUAUGCAGAAUGCGUGGUGUAGCGGUGAAAUGCGUAGAGAUCACGCAGAACCCCGAUGGCGAAGGCAGCAUGCCGGCUUCCGACUGACGCUGAGGCACGAAAGCGUGGGGAUCGAACAGGAUUAGAUACCCUGGUAGUC
rnacentral:rRNA from 1 species